UACGUAGGGUGCGAGCGUUAAUCAGAAUUACUGGGCGUAAAGCGUGCGUAGGUGGUUCGUUGUGUCUGUGGUGAAAGCCCCGGGCUUAACCUGGGAAUGGCCAUGGAAACUGGCGAGCUGGAGUCUGGCAGAGGGGGGUGGAAUUCCGGCGUGUAGCAGUGAAAUGCGUAGAGAUGCGGAGGAACACCGAUGGCGAAGGCAGCCCCCUGGGCUAAGACUGACGCUGAGGCACGGAAAGCGUGGGGAGCAAACAGGG
rnacentral:rRNA from 1 species